UCCAAGUGAAGCAGAGGACAGUGGCGGACGGGUGAGUAACGCGUGAGGAACCUGCCUUUCAGAGGGGGACAACAGUUGGAAACGACUGCUAAUACCGCAUAAGACCACAGUGUCGCAUGGCACAGGGGUCAAAGGAUUUAUCCGCUGAAAGAUGGCCUCGCGUCUGAUUAGCUAGUUGGUGAGGUAACGGCCCACCAAGGCGACGAUCAGUAGCCGGACUGAGAGGUUGAACGGCCACAUUGGGACUGAGAUACGGCCCAGACUCC
rnacentral:rRNA from 1 species